AGGGUUUGAUUAUGGCUCAGAAUGAACGCUGGCGGCGUGCCUAACACAUGCAAGUCGAGCGCCAAAGCUCCUUCGGGAGUGAGUAGCGCGGCGAACGGGUGAGUAACACGUGAGAAUCUGCCCUUUAGUGAGGAAUAACCUCGAGAAAUUGAGAAUAAUACCGCAUACGUCCCUUCGGGGAGAAAGGUGGCUUUUAUGCUGCCGCUAAAGGAUGAGCUUGCGAGCUAUUAGUUUGUUGGUGGGGUAACGGCCUACCAAGACGAUGAUGGCUAGCCGGCCUGAGAGGGUGAUCGGUCACAUUGGAACUGAGACACGGUCCAGACUCCUACGGGAGGCAGCAGUGAGGAAUAUUGCGCAAUGGGCGAAAGCCUGACGCAGCGACGCCGCGUGAAGGAUGAAGGCUCUAGGGUCGUAAACUUCUGUUAAGCGGGAAGAAAGACCUGCCAGUAAUAUGGGCAGGGGAUGACGUUACCGUUAAAGAAAGCACCGGCUAACUUCGUGCCAGCA
rnacentral:rRNA from 1 species